UUUUUACCUUUGCAACCCCUUUAACCCAUGGGUACGAGUGUCCUCACUGGCUGAACUAGUCAGCCAUACCUUCUUUUGCCAGACUAGCUAUGAGAUAAAAUACCAUCAUUAUAUUCUUGGUCUCUUCCAAUUAGAAACCUCUGUAGCUCAGGAACACAGACAACACCUGACACAGAUCCUGGUGUAUAAUCUGGAAUACUAUGCAGUAAAGAAAAUCUACAUCUGGGUAGCAUUGUAAAUGUCUGCUCUGUAUUGGUAUCUAAUGGGCAGUAGACUAGGAUUUGCCUCUGAUCCACAACUUGAGAACAGCAGCUUCCCGUCCUUGAGGGUUCAUCCAUAAAGUAUAUACUUGGACCAUCUCAAGUUGCACCUCUUGAAUUGGAGGAGCAGUAGCUAUACUAAGGCAUAAUUCAAGACUGGUAGAAUCGUAUUAUUUAAUAUAAUUAUUACUCAGAAUUCAUAUAGCUCCAACAGUUUACGCAGCGCUUUACAACAAAAUAUUAAGGGCUUUUGCACACAGGCGUAAAAAAAAGCUGCAUGCAGUGUCUAGUUCUGUAAACGGCAUUAUACAUAUCUUAUGGGCCUGUUCAGACAGCUGUGUUCAUGGCUGUAAUGGUGAAUUGUGCUUUAGCAGCGUCUAAAAGGAAAUUGGAACAGAGCUGCAUCCGGGGCUGUAAUUUCUGCAGUUUUUACACAUGUACACUUGUUUACAUGUGCACACAGGUUGAUGUAUUCUGUAACUAACCAGGAAACCUGUCUAGGCAGCGGCUACACAAAAAUUACUGAGUCCUCUGAUUUGAGUCCAGUAGGUGUAUUUGGAGCUCCGUGAGAGAGGGAUAAGUAAGGAUGUUUGGCAAUUAGUACUUAUUGCCUCGGUACAUAAACGGCCUACAAUUUGGGACACUGAGCAAGCCGAGUACUUCAAUCACGUGCAGCUGAAAAACGAUUGAGAGGCGAUCUUCAUGGAGCCUAUGUCCUGGGUCUGCCUUUGUCAAGGAGCAAGACAAGAAAGAGGGGAUAUCCUCACUGCAAAGGGAAAAGCAUACUACAGUGGUGCCCCAUCAGGAGGCCACUUCAAAAAAUGCCACCCCUGCUUAAGAGAUGAUUCUCUGUCGCUGCCCCAUGGAGUCAAUGGCGACGAGAUCCAAUUGGGCACAAGAGGAGGAUAUACUGAGUGAGGGACGUCCCUCAAGGGAAUCUUCACUAUCCAACUUACUGAGACCUGCAGAGUCAGAGGAGGGAGCACUUGUAGUAUAGGCAUCCAGCAGGGGUCUACAGCAAAGUAUGUGGCUGGUUGAGACAAAACCAUUGGCAGCAGCCAGAAACAACAUCCACUGAUGGCCAGAUCCUGCAGCUGCUGUACAAGCUUUGUGACCGGCAGCCAGAUGUACACCGGGGCAACACAAACGCCAGACAGUUUUCUGCCUCAGCCUCAUGCCGAUACUGGAACACAUCCAUGCAGAGCAUGAAAUGCAAGUCAGGAAUGAUAUUUAGUAUUAUCUGGUGGUCUGCAGGUCCGCUCUUUGGAGAGGCCUUCCGCAUGCUAGGUUACACAUGGAAAGCACCCCACCUAGCUCCUGCACUCUGCCAGUUGGUCCCCCUCCUCCUGAGCCAAGCACAUAUAGGACCCCUCCUAUGGCUCCAGUUUAUCCUUGCCUACCCUGCCCUCCACCUACCAGUCACCCCCCCCACUCUCUUUUUAGCCUUACACAUUUGGUACCUUACCUUUCCCACCCAGUCCUUUCCUGUUACGUUUCCCCUUACACUUUUCCCAGCACUUAAACCUGUCUACCAGACCUGACCCCUGCUAUCGGAACCUGUUAUGUUAUGUUUUGUUUUAAAAAAAAUGUUUUUUAAAAAAUAAACCCUUUUUGAAAGUAUUUCUUCUUGUCUAAUCUCUAAAGGGAAUGUGUUAUUUAGUACACAUCUGGGACAUCUUGUGCCCCCAUCUCAUUGCUGGCUCCGUGGAACGUUUUUGGGACUCCCAUUCACAGUGAAUGGAAGCCUUACCCUGUAUGCUAAAUCAGGGCUCGACAAAUCCCGGG